rnacentral:rRNA from 1 species
AUUGAACGCUGGCGGCAGGCUUAACACAUGCAAGUCGAGCGAGCGGCGGACGGGUGAGUAAUGUCUGGGAAACUGCCUGAUGGAGGGGGAUAACUACUGGAAACGGUAGCUAAUACCGCAUACCAUCAGAUGUGCCCUGAGGGGAUUAGCUAGUCGGUGGGGCAAUGGCGCACCUAGGCGACGAUCCCUAGCUGGUCUGAGAGGAUGACCAGCCACACUGGAACUGAGACACGGUCCAGACUCCUACGGGAGGCAGCAGUGGGGAAUAUUGGGCAAUGGGCGAAAGCCUGAUCCAGCCAUGCCGCGUGUGUGAAGAAGGCCUUCGGGUUGUAAAGCACUUUCAGCGAGGAGGCGUUACUCGCAGAAGAAGCACCGGCUAACUCCGUGCCAGCAGCCGCGGUAAUUC